rnacentral:rRNA from 1 species
UACGGGGGGGGGUAAGCGUUGUUCGGAAUUACUGGGCGUAAAGCGCACGUAGGCGGACUCUUAAGUCGGUGGUGAAAUCCUGGAGCUCAACUCCAGAACUGCCUUCGAUACUGAGGGUCUCGAGUCCGAGAGAGGUGAGUGGAACUGCGAGUGUAGAGGUGAAAUUCGUAGAUAUUCGCAAGAACACCAGUGGCGAAGGCGGCUCACUGGCUCGGUACUGACGCUGAGGUGCGAAAGCGUGGGGAGCAAACAGG